UUUGUGAGAGCUGAGAGUGAUUGAGAGGGGUUCGUUGAGAGCGAGAGAGGGAUUCGUGUGAGAGACGGAAAGAUGCGAGUGAGAUGCUGAGGUACGAGCGAUUGUGAGAUUGAGAGAAAUGUGAGGUUUGGUGUGAGGGAGAUUGUGAGAGUUGAUGAGCGUUUUCGAGAGCGGAGAGAGAUUUCAUUGAGGUUCUUUGUGUGAAGCAGAUGGGGAGGACGAGGACGAUGAAGCUGCUUCUGUGUUCUCCGUUUCCAUUUUCUUGUUUUUUCUUUUUUUAAUUUUUUUAUUUAUUUAAUUUAAUUAGUUUUUAACACAAAAAACCAUAAAAAAUGUUCAAUUUGUUUUUUUAUUUUAACUCUUUUUUAUUUUCAUCCCGGUUUAUAUAUUCAACGUAGCAGUACAAUAUUAAAUAACCUUGAGUGGUCUGGUGGAGGAGGGCAGUGUUCAUAUGUUCUUGAGUGGGGUGGGUUCAAUACUCAUGUGUGACCUUUUUUGGCAUUUUAUUUCUUUUAGCUAUAUUAUUUUUUCUUUUAGCAUUUUAGUUUCUUUUUAUGUUUAUGCCUUUAUUACACUCAUAUGUUCAUUUUGUUAAUAAUGUAAAGUUGUUGUAUUUUAAUUCAAAACCAUUUUAAAACUAUAAAAAUCAUGUUUUUCUCGAUUUAAUAUCGAGCCCAUUUUUUACACCCUUGUAAGUCGAUUGCUUUUUAAGCAU
rnacentral:lncRNA from 1 species